UUAAGAAGCUGUCUACCUGAAGCAUCCCAGCUGACCUCUGGGUCAGAGUUCAUGAGUUCUAAGAUUCCUCAGCUGUGGCCUGGAUGAAAAUGCCCUUUCACAUGUGUGUAACAAACUACGUAUAGUUUUCAUUUCACAUGCUCUGUCCAGGACCACCAGAACAAUGUGGAACGGACACAGUGGUAGUGGGCUUUCAUGGAUGCCUCAGGCUGCUCAACCAUAUGUAUGUGCCUGUGAAAUCUUUGCCCUGAAGAGAUCCGCCACAAUGAAUGGAGAAGACAUCCAAGCACCAGUGGGUAUUUUAUGUUGCCAGAGGUCUCUGAGGCAGAGAGAAUGAGCAUGCUUUCCUGUGCCUUUGUGCAGGGGAAAGCGGUAAGAGGAAAAGUAAACACGGGAACAGCAUUGUGUUCUGAGAUAGUCGCUGCCCCUCUGAUCUCAAGCCUUUUCCGUACAAAGCAGGCGCUAACCUAAUCUUUGUUUCUUCAAUCGUCCACCAAGGUUUUUUGAAUUUUUCCUUUUCUUCCUAUAGACACUCUCUCCUUAGGUUCCUAGGAAGCAGGCUGCUUGGUGGAAGAAAAGUGAGUCAUUUCCUCCUGUAGGGAGCAUUUCAAAUAAAUUAUUAUU